rnacentral:lncRNA from 1 species
UAUUGUUGUAAAUGUUUUUUUUCUCCACAUCUCAUUUCCAGACUGCAGACAUUCAGGGCAGAACCUCCAGAGCCCAGCUAUGUAUCUAUGAAGAGCAACCACUCGAUGAUUGAGCCUCUUAAAUUCAGUAAUGAAAGAAUGGGCGAUGACCUGAGACUCCAGACAUUCAGAGCAGAACCUCCAGAGCCCAGCUAUGUAUCUAUGAAGAGCAGCCACUCGAUGAUUGAGCCUCUUAAAUUCAGUAAUGAAAGAAUGGGUGCUGACCUGAGGUGAGUGCAGAUGGAGUCACUGUGCAUCGUUCACUAUUCACUAUUCAGUGCACUUUAC